rnacentral:rRNA from 1 species
GGGUUGUGAGGUUAAGCGACUAAGCGUACACGGUGGAUGCCCUGGCAGUCAGAGGCGAUGAAGGACGUGCUAAUCUGCGAUAAGCGUCGGUAAGGUGAUAUGAACCGUUAUAACCGGCGAUUUCCGAAUGGGGAAACCCAGUGUGAUUCGUCACACUAUCAUUAACUGAAUCCAUAGGUUAAUGAGGCGAACCGGGGGAACUGAAACAUCUAAGUACCCCGAGGAAAAGAAAUCAACCGAGAUUCCCCCAGUAGCGGCGAGCGAACGGGGAGCAGCCCAGAGCCUGAAUCAGUGUGUGUGUUAGUGGAAGCGUCUGGAAAGGCGCGCGAUACAGGGUGACAGCCCCGUACACAAAAAUGCACAUGCUGUGAGCUCGAUGAGUAGGGCGGGACACGUGGUAUCCUGUCUGAAUAUGGGGGGACCAUCCUCCAAGGCUAAAUACUCCUGACUGACCGAUAGUGAACCAGUACCGUGAGGGAAAGGCGAAAAGAACCCCGGCGAGGGGAGUGAAAAAGAACCUGAAACCGUGUACGUACAAGCAGUGGGAGCACAGAGCAAUCUGUGUGACUGCGUACCUUUUGUAUAAUGGGUCAGCGACUUAUAUUCUGUAGCAAGGUUAACCGAAUAGGGGAGCCGAAGGGAAACCGAGUCUUAACUGGGCGUUAAGUUGCAGGGUAUAGACCCGAAACCCGGUGAUCUAGCCAUGGGCAGGUUGAAGGUUGGGUAACACUAACUGGAGGACCGAACCGACUAAUGUUGAAAAAUUAGCGGAUGACUUGUGGCUGGGGGUGAAAGGCCAAUCAAACCGGGAGAUAGCUGGUUCUCCCCGAAAGCUAUUUAGGUAGCGCCUCGUGAAUUCAUCUCCGGGGGUAGAGCACUGUUUCGGCAAGGGGGUCAUCCCGACUUACCAACCCGAUGCAAACUACGAAUACCGGAGAAUGUUAUCACGGGAGACACACGGCGGGUGCUAACGUCCGUCGUGAAGAGGGAAACAACCCAGACCGCCAGCUAAGGUCCCAAAGUCAUGGUUAAGUGGGAAACGAUGUGGGAAGGCCCAGACAGCCAGGAUGUUGGCUUAGAAGCAGCCAUCAUUUAAAGAAAGCGUAAUAGCUCACUGGUCGAGUCGGCCUGCGCGGAAGAUGUAACGGGGCUAAACCAUGCACCGAAGCUGCGGCAGCGACGCUUAUGCGUUGUUGGGUAGGGGAGCGUUCUGUAAGCCUGCGAAGGUGUGCUGUGAGGCAUGCUGGAGGUAUCAGAAGUGCGAAUGCUGACAUAAGUAACGAUAAAGCGGGUGAAAAGCCCGCUCGCCGGAAGACCAAGGGUUCCUGUCCAACGUUAAUCGGGGCAGGGUGAGUCGACCCCUAAGGCGAGGCCGAAAGGCGUAGUCGAUGGGAAACAGGUUAAUAUUCCUGUACUUGGUGUUACUGCGAAGGGGGGACGGAGAAGGCUAUGUUGGCCGGGCGACGGUUGUCCCGGUUUAAGCGUGUAGGCUGGUUUUCCAGGCAAAUCCGGAAAAUCAAGGCUGAGGCGUGAUGACGAGGCACUACGGUGCUGAAGCAACAAAUGCCCUGCUUCCAGGAAAAGCCUCUAAGCAUCAGGUAACAUCAAAUCGUACCCCAAACCGACACAGGUGGUCAGGUAGAGAAUACCAAGGCGCUUGAGAGAACUCGGGUGAAGGAACUAGGCAAAAUGGUGCCGUAACUUCGGGAGAAGGCACGCUGAUAUGUAGGUGAAGUCCCUCGCGGAUGGAGCUGAAAUCAGUCGAAGAUACCAGCUGGCUGCAACUGUUUAUUAAAAACACAGCACUGUGCAAACACGAAAGUGGACGUAUACGGUGUGACGCCUGCCCGGUGCCGGAAGGUUAAUUGAUGGGGUCAGCGCAAGCGAAGCUCUUGAUCGAAGCCCCGGUAAACGGCGGCCGUAACUAUAACGGUCCUAAGGUAGCGAAAUUCCUUGUCGGGUAAGUUCCGACCUGCACGAAUGGCGUAAUGAUGGCCAGGCUGUCUCCACCCGAGACUCAGUGAAAUUGAACUCGCUGUGAAGAUGCAGUGUACCCGCGGCAAGACGGAAAGACCCCGUGAACCUUUACUAUAGCUUGACACUGAACAUUGAGCCUUGAUGUGUAGGAUAGGUGGGAGGCUUUGAAGUGUGGACGCCAGUCUGCAUGGAGCCGACCUUGAAAUACCACCCUUUAAUGUUUGAUGUUCUAACGUGGACCCGUAAUCCGGGUUGCGGACAGUGUCUGGUGGGUAGUUUGACUGGGGCGGUCUCCUCCUAAAGAGUAACGGAGGAGCACGAAGGUUGGCUAAUCCUGGUCGGACAUCAGGAGGUUAGUGCAAUGGCAUAAGCCAGCUUGACUGCGAGCGUGACGGCGCGAGCAGGUGCGAAAGCAGGUCAUAGUGAUCCGGUGGUUCUGAAUGGAAGGGCCAUCGCUCAACGGAUAAAAGGUACUCCGGGGAUAACAGGCUGAUACCGCCCAAGAGUUCAUAUCGACGGCGGUGUUUGGCACCUCGAUGUCGGCUCAUCACAUCCUGGGGCUGAAGUAGGUCCCAAGGGUAUGGCUGUUCGCCAUUUAAAGUGGUACGCGAGCUGGGUUUAGAACGUCGUGAGACAGUUCGGUCCCUAUCUGCCGUGGGCGCUGGAGAACUGAGGGGGGCUGCUCCUAGUACGAGAGGACCGGAGUGGACGCAUCACUGGUGUUCGGGUUGUCAUGCCAAUGGCACUGCCCGGUAGCUAAAUGCGGAAGAGAUAAGUGCUGAAAGCAUCUAAGCACGAAACUUGCCCCGAGAUGAGUUCUCCCUGAC